AGUGAACGCUGGCGGUAGGCCUAACACAUGCAAGUCGAACGGCAGCACAGUAAGAGCUUGCUCUUACGGGUGGCGAGUGGCGGACGGGUGAGGAAUACAUCGGAAUCUACUUUUUCGUGGGGGAUAACGUAGGGACACUUACGCUAAUACCUCAUACGACCUACGGGUGCAAGCAGGGGUUCUUCGUCCCUUUCCCGAUUCCAUGAGCCGAUGUCGGAUUAGCUAGUUGGCGGGGUAAAGGCCCACCUAGGCGACGAUCCGUAGCUGGGCUGAGAGGAUGAUCAGCCACACUGGAACUGAGACACGGUCCAGACUCCUACGGGAGGCAGCAGUGGGGAAUAUUGGACAAUGGGCGCAAGCCUGAUUCAGCCAUACCGCGUGGGUGAAGAAGGCCUUCGGAUUGUAAAACCCUGUUAUUGGGGAAGAAAAGCAGCAGGUUAAUACCCCGCUGUUCUGACGGUACCCAAAGAGUAAGCACCGGCUAACUUCGUG
rnacentral:rRNA from 1 species